CUUGCGACCAUAUCACGUUGAAACACUGGUCCUCGUACAAUCAACGAAGUUAAGCAAUGUCGGGCUUGAUCAGUACUUAGAUGGGUGACCGCUCGG